GACGAACGCUGGCGGCGUGCUUAACACAUGCAAGUCGAACGGAAAGGCCCUGCUUGCAGGGUGCUCGAGUGGCGAACGGGUGAGUAACACGUGGGUGAUCUGCCCCUUACUUUGGGAUAAGCCUGGUAAACUGGGUCUAAUACUGGAUAGGACCAUGCUGUAGGUGGUGUGGUGGAAAGAUUAGUUUCGGUGAGGGUUGAGCUCGCGGCCUAUCAGCUUGUUGGUGGGGUAAUGGCCUACCAAGGCGUCGACGGGUAGCCGGCCUGAGAGGGUGGACGGCAACAUUGAGACUGAGAUGCGACCCAGACUCCUACGGGAGGCAGCAGUGGGGAAUAUUGCACAAUGGGCGCAAGCCUGAUGCAGCGACGCCGCGUGGGGGAUGACGGCCUUCGGGUUGUAAGCUCCUUUCAGCCAUGACGAAGCCCUUGUGGUGACGGUAGUGGUAGAAGAAGCACCGGCUAACUACGUG
rnacentral:rRNA from 1 species